rnacentral:rRNA from 1 species
GACGAACGCUGGCGGCGUGCUUAACACAUGCAAGUCGAACGGAAAGGCCCUGCUUUUGUGGGGUUCUCGAGUGGCGAACGGGUGAGUAACACGUGAGUAACCUGCCCUUGACUUUGGGAUAACUUCAGGAAACUGGGGCUAAUACCGGAUAGGAGCUCCUGUUGCAUGGUGGGGGUUGGAAAGUCUCGGCGGUCGGGGAUGGACUCGCGGCUUAUCAGCUUGUUGGUGGGGUAGUGGCUUACCAAGGCUUUGACGGGUAGCCGGCCUGAGAGGGUGACCGGGCACAAUGGGACUGAGAGACGGACCAGACGCCUACGGGGGGCAGCAGGGGGGAAUAUGGCACAAUGGGAGGAAGCCUGAGGAAGCAGCGCCGCGGGCGGGAUGACGGCCUUCGGGGUGUAAACCGCUUUAGCCUGUGACGAAGCGUGAGUGACGGUAAUGGGUAAAGAAGCACCGGCUAACUACGUG